GUUGUAGAGCAAAACAUGCUCAAACAGAAUCACAGGGUUAUCACUUUUGAUAGCUGCCUUCAUCAAGCCCUUAGCAUUGUAGGGGGUUGAACAGGCGACCAUCUGGAUUCCAGGAAUUGACUGGAAGUAUGACUCAAGGCGUUGAGAGUGCUCUGCUCCAAGCUGUCGACCAACUCCACCAGGACCUCGGAUGACAACUGGUAUCUUAAACUGGCCACCAGAUGUGUAGUGGAGCAUACCGCAGUUGUUAGAUAUCUGGUUGAAGGCCAGAAGAAGAAAUCCCAUGUUCAUUCCCUCAAUAACUGGACGCAAGCCAGUCAUUGCAGCUCCAAUGCCCAUACCAGUGAAAGAGUUCUCAGCAAUAGGAGUAUCAAGAACCCUGAGAUCACCAUAUUUUGGGGCAAGGCCUUUAGUCACCUUGUACGAACCUCCAUAAUGACCGACAUCUUCACCCAUUACACAAACAGCGGGAUCCCUGUCCAUUUCUUCUUCAAGACCUUCACGGAGGGCCUCAAAGAGCAAUAGUUCAUGCCCUGGCUUUGAUGAAGUAGAAGCUGCAGCAGUAUCUUCUUUAGUAGCAACAGCAUUAGUAAUUAAUUGUUCAGCUCUUCCUCCACGUCCAUUCAAACCAUAGCUCAAACCCCCAUCAGAUCUAACCACAAAAGUCCUUCCUUUCCUCUCUGCACCAACUGACAAAGAUCUGCGAGAAUUAGAGAAAAAUGUCUUCUUGGUGUCCAAAGAACUGGCUGAGGUUAGUGCAGUAGCAGCACCAAUUCCUUGUAUAAUAGCAGCCAUCUAGAAAACCCCACGAAGAAAAAUGGAUUCUUGAUUCCAAUAAAUGAAGAGAAAAUGCAGUAUAAUAAUGAGGGAGAUGAAGAAUCAAAUAUAUAUGCACACAAAAUAGGUGAAAAG
rnacentral:misc_RNA from 1 species